AUUGAACGCUGGCGGCAGGCUUAACACACGCAAGUCGAACGGUAACAGGCCGCAAGGUGCUGACGAGUGGCGAACGGGUGAGUAAUGCAUCGGAACGUGCCCAGUCGUGGGGGAUAACGCAGCGAAAGCUGCGCUAAUACCGCAUACGAUCUAUGGAUGAAAGCGGGGGACCGUAAGGCCUCGCGCGAUUGGAGCGGCCGAUGUCAGAUUAGGUAGUUGGUGGGGUAAAGGCUCACCAAGCCAACGAUCUGUAGCUGGUCUGAGAGGACGACCAGCCACACUGGGACUGAGACACGGCCCAGACUCCUACGGGAGGCAGCAGUGGGGAAUUUUGGACAAUGGGCGCAAGCCUGAUCCAGCAAUGCCGCGUGCAGGAAGAAGGCCUUCGGGUUGUAAACUGCUUUUGUACGGAACGAAACGGUCCUGGUUAAUACCUGGGGCUAAUGACGGUACCGUAAGAAUAAGCACCGGCUAACUACGUGCCAGCCGCCGCCGUAAGAC
rnacentral:rRNA from 1 species